AUGUCGCUGUUAAACAAUGCCCGUCGAGGGAUUAAACAAACUUAUCAGGUUAUCAUCGCCCUGGCUGUCCCCUCCCUGCGGCUUCAUUUGGACGACUUUGGCGAUGCACUUGGACAUGUUCCGUGGUACUGUGGUACUACAUGGUUCUUGCCGUGCUUUGGAGCCAAAGAGGUUGGCUCUGAAGAAAGGUUAUCUUAUGUGUGGAGCUGCUUUAUCUGGACGUCUUUUAAAAGAUAUAGUGGCUUCUUUGAUUCAAAAGAUUUUCAUAGGAAUUUUGGAGGAUUAGAAUCCUUAGGAAUUUUUUCUAUGUUGGUUGUUUGA
rnacentral:rRNA from 1 species